ACAAGUAAAUGAUCACAUAUACAUAGGCAAGAUAUUAACUUGGUAAAAUAGAGCCACUCAGCUGUUUGAGUAGCCUCAUUGAAGUUUUUAAUGAAGUUCUCUUUCUGUUAUUUUAGAACAUCCCUCAUGUUUGCGGGACGGUAUAGUACGGAAAACAUAGUACACAUGCUUCUUGAACUAGGGGUUGAUGUGCUUUCUGAAGACAUUGCUGGACAUUCUGCUAGGGAUUAUGCUCUUCAAAAACGUAAUAUGCAAAAUUACCAACUCAUUUCGUUGUUUCGAGAAAAUGCUGCACUUGAGAAGAUUGUAAAUAGAAAUCCAGAUGAUGAGCAUUCUAAAGAAUAUAGAAAAAGGCUUUUGGAAAUACCUGAUGUUAAUCAUGAACUGCUUAUAUCAUAUGAGGAAGGCCUCAAUUCAUUUGCCAAGAAAGACUUAAUUCCAGGACAUACAACUGCCAUCAUUCACAGUGCACCAGAAGAGCAACCCAAUAACGACAGAAUAACUCGUGUUCAUGGAGUCCAUGAAGAUAACAAAUGUGGAGCAGAAGAUGAAGCUAAAGAAUCAACUUCAGACCCUGAGGAAGGAACGUCAACUAUAGCGGGUAAGAAGAGUAAAAAAUGUUUUUUCAUCACUCAAGUUGCUCCACAACAGCCAAUUAAUAAACAUGGGCUGGACUCUGAUCACGCAUUGGACAAAGAUAACAAACGUAGUAAGGAGUCUACCUCCCAAAGAGAUCCUGAAGACAACAACUCACCAAGGAAUUCGAAGGAAGGAAUGUCAACCUUAGCGAGUAAGAAGGGCUUAAAAGAUAUCGCCAUCACUCAAGUUGCUCCACAACAGCCAAUUAAUGAAUAUGCGUUCAACUAUGAUCGUGGAUUGGACAAUGGUAACAUGGGUAGUAAGGAGUCUACCUCCCAAAGUGAUCCUGAAGACAACAACUCACCAAGGAAUUCGAAGGCAGGAACGUCAGCUGUAGCGGGUAAGAAGAGUAAAAAACGUUUUUUCAUCGCUCAAGUUGCUCCACAACAGCCAAUUAUGAACUCUGAUCACGGAUUGGACAAAGAUAACAAACGUAGUAAGGAGUCUACCUCCCAAAGAGAUCCUGAAGACAACAACUCACCAAGGAAUUCGAAGGAAGGAAUGUCAACCUUAGCGAGUAAGAAGGGCUUAAAAGAUAUCGCCAUCACUCAAGUUGCUCCACAACAGCCAAUUAAUGAAUAUGCGUUCAACUAUGAUCGUGGAUUGGACAAUGGUAAGGAGUCUACCUCCCAAAGAGAUCCUGAAGACAACAACUCACCAAGGAAUUCGAAGACUAUUUCUACAAAUUCUUGGAAGGAAUCCAUUAAUCAAUCAAUGGCAGCAGAUGCAAAAGGAAAAGAUAUGAAUGAACCACUGGAAGAGUUUGCUAAGGGAUCCACUGAAUUGACGCCUCGUCUGGAAGCAAUACAUCCCUUUUUGGCAACAUCAGUGGGAAUGAAUGAAGUACAAACAUGCAGACAAGUUACAGGCAGAAUCAAGUUAAAACCAAUACCAAAACAUCUCAAGAGGCAUUUCCUUCCUCACUGCAAUACUAAUCAAUAUAAAAGCACAGAACUUGAGUUAAAAAAUGUCAAGUCUUCUCCAACAAAUAAUGACAUUAAAACAGCACCCAAGGAAGAACAAGAAUGGCUUGAUGGAAGUGAAAAUAAGCAGUUUGAAGAAAAAGGGCAGCGUUGCCAAAGUAAGGAAAUGGAAGUGUUAAGAAACUUGCAUGAAAGUGCUGCUCCUCCUGAGGACAGUGAUGGUUGUGGACUGAAUCAGCAGAGACAGAGUGGGGACCUUGACAACCAGCAAUCUGCCACUAAGAAGAGUGAAGAAUAUUAUUCCUGCCCUGCCUUGCAUAUAAAGGAAAUAAAAAAUGAAAAUGAAAAAGUGACUUCCAUGGAGUAUGGGAUUAGACCAGUGUUUGAGAAUGGCUUUUCACUCACUAGAAGUCUACUGCAAGUGAUUUAUGACAACAAUCUGAGUGAGCUCGAUCGUCUUAAAAGGGAACAGUUAAGAAGAAAAGAAAAGCAAUAUCAUAAAGAAGAAGUGAAACAAGAAGAAGUGACACAUAGAACACUAGAAAUGGAUGUGAGGACUUCAAAAAACAAUUUGACCCAGGUAGAUAUGAAACACCUGCAGCAGCAACAGGAUUACAUUGAGAAAAGGCAAUGUAAAUCAGAGGCAUCGCUGAGAGAUAUGGCACAGUUUUACCUUAAGUUAAACAGCAAGAUGCAGGAUAUAAUGAACAAGUUAGAUGAAAUCGUCAGAAAAGUAUGUAUGAUAUCUAGCAUGUCAAUAAGAAUUCUAGAGCUUAGAGUUUCCAAAUACAAAUAUCAUAAGACCCUGCUUUAUUUGAAUAUGAAAAUCUUGGCACAAUUUUAUCAUUAUGCACUUACUUCUUAAACUCUGAUAUCCACUAUUUAUUGUUAUAUUCUUUAUUAAAAUAAUACUCACUGUUAAAAACUUGAGGAAUAUAUAUCAUUUUUCACAGAAAAUGCACAUUUUUCUCAAUAUUUUCAGUGAUAUCAAUUGUCAUGAUAAAACAAGGCAGAUUGAAUCAGAGGAUAAAAUUUAGCAGAAUUCUCAAAAAAUACAUUUCUUGUUUCACUUAUGUGAAUGGAUACAAAACCUAUGUUUAUUGAUCCUGUGUAUUUCAGAAUAAAUUUUCAAAAUACUUUAUACUAUGCUGAAAU
ensembl:lncRNA